rnacentral:rRNA from 1 species
CAAUAGCGUAUAUUAAAGUUGUUGCAGUUAAAAAGCUCGUAGUUGGAUUUCUGGAUGGAGCGACCGGUCGGGCAUUAAUUUGUCUGCACUGGAGUCGGUUCCGUCCAUCCUCUUGGAAAGUGCGUCGGGCAUUAGGUUGUUUGGCGUAUGAUCCAAGUCGUUUACUGUGAAAAAAUUAGAGUGUUUAAAGCAGGCCUUCGCCUUGAAUACAUUAGCAUGGAAUAAUAAGAUAGGACUUUGGUCUAUUUUGUUGGUUUGCAGACCGAAGCAAUGAUUAAUAGGGAUAGUUGGGGGUAUUUAUAUUCCGAUGUCAGAGGUGAAAUUCUUAGAUUUUCGGAAGAUAAACUUAUGCGAAAGCAUUUACCAAGGAUGUUUUCAUUAA